UGGUCAAGUGAGUGACUAUGUUUUUUGGUUUCCCUGUGCUUAUAAAAGUUAUGUUUAUACUAUACUGUAGUCUAUUAAGUGUGCAAUUGCAUCAUAUCUAAAAACACUGUAUAGAUUUUAAUUUAAAAAUACUUGAUUGUUAAAUGCUAAUGAUCCAUCCUUUGAGCCUUCAGUGGAUCAUGAUCUAUUUGCUAGUGAAGGGUCUUACCUCAGUGUUGAUGGCUAUUGAUUGAUCAUGAUGGUAAUUGCUGAAUGUUGGGUGGCUGUGGCAAUUUCUUUUUUU